UCAUCUGUCAUUUGUGAUUACAAAGAGAGCUAGACUGUUUGGUUUCAGAGAGAUGGAAUUAGUGAAUUCUGUAUUAUAGAGAAAUUUUCCACCAACAACAAUACGGAAAUAUUUGUGUCUGUGGCUGAAAAAACAUAAAGAAACAAAUGCAAAAAAAGAUAAAGGUGCGAGAAUUAUUCAGAGGGCAUUUCGUCAAGUUGUGGCUACAAAAUACAAGAGGCUGCAUGAUGAAGAGAUCUUGGAGAACAGUUAUCCAUGGCAAACCACGCUUGCAGAUUGGUUUUGUCGUCAGUUACCAUGCAUUUUUCAGAAAGAACGACAAGAGCGGAAAGCAUUGGAAUUGAAGAUUAACCGACUUCUGUUCAUUAUAAACAAUAUGAAUAUAUUAUAAAUGCUAUUGAAGAGACGCCUCGUCAAUGACAAAGACGAACAUAGAAGCCCAGCCAAAUUCCAUCUAUACAAAUAAAAAUAUAGGCAGUGAUACAGUUUACUUUUAGUCCAAUCAUGCUGACAUAUAUAAAAUACAGCCGAAAUACGAAUAUUAUAAAGAUUGUUACAGAAAAGGCGAUUUCCGACCAUCAACAAAAACUAGAUCUGAAUUGCAGUCUUUAGCGCAAUAAUGAUCACGGUUCUAAAAAUUAGGUUCUAAAUCAAUCUCCAGGUUACAUCUUUCUCUGUUUUGCGUUUCCCAAAGUUCAUUUAU